UACGUAGGGGGCUAGCGUUGUCCGGAAUCAUUGGGCGUAAAGAGCGCGUAGGCGGCCAGAUAAGUCCGGUGUGAAAGUCACAGGCUCAACCUGUGAAUGCCGCUGGAAACUGUCUGGCUAGAGUCCGGGAGGGGCGAGUGGAAUUCCUGGUGUAGCGGUGAAAUGCGCAGAUAUCAGGAGGAGCACCAAUGGCGAAGGCAGCUCGCUGGAACGGUACUGACGCUGAGAUACGAAAGCGUGGGGAGCAAACAGG
rnacentral:rRNA from 1 species